rnacentral:rRNA from 1 species
GUCGACAACCUGCCCCGAAGACCGGGAUAACUCACCGAAAGGUGAGCUAAUACCGGAUACCUUCACGACGUCUCCUGGCGAUGUGAAGAAAUGGAUUCCGCUUUGGGAGGGUCUCGCGGCCUAUCAGCUUGUUGGUGAGGUAACGGCUCACCAAGGCGACGACGGGUAGCUGUUCUGAGAGGAAGAUCAGCCACACUGGGACUGAGACACGGCCCAGACUCCUACGGGAGGCAGCAGUGGGGAAUCUUGCGCAAUGGGCGAAAGCCUGACGCAGCGAUGCCGCGUGCGGGAAGACGGCCUUCGGGUUGUAAACCGCUUUCAGCAGGGACGAAAUUGACGGUACCUGCAGAAGAAGCUCCGGCCAACUACGUGCCAGCAGCCGCGGUAAGACGUAGGGGCGAGCGUUG